GACGAACGCUGGCGGCAUGCCUAACACAUGCAAGUCGAACGAGACCUUCGGGUCUGGUGGCGCACGGGUGCGUAAGGCGGGGGAACCUGCCCUUAAGCUCGGAAUAACUCCCCGAUAGGGGUACUAAUACCGGAUAAAGUCUUCGGGCCAAAGAUUUCUGGGCGUUGGGUGGGGGCGCGUGGGAUUAGCGAGUGGGUAGGGUAAAAGCCUACCAACGCGACGAUGCAGAGCUGGUCUGAGAGGAUGACCAGCCACACUGGGACUGAGACCCGGCCCAGACUCCUACGGGAGGCAGCAGUAGGGAAUAUUGGACGAUGGGCGCAAGCCUGACGCAGCAACGUCGGGUGAGUGAUGAAGGGGUUAGGGUUGUAAAGCUCUUUUACCCGGGAUGAUAAUGACAGUACCGGGAGAAGAAGCUCCGGCUAACUACGUG
rnacentral:rRNA from 1 species